UAAGUACUCCCUCCGUCCCAAAAUUCUUGUCUUAGAUUCGUCUAGAUACGGAUGUAUCUAAUACUAAAACGUGACUUGAUACAUCUGUAAUUGGACAAAUCCAAGACAAGAAUUUCGGGACGGCGGGAGUACUUC
rfam:Triticum aestivum genome assembly, contig: Triticum_aestivum_CS42_TGACv1_scaffold_161426_2DL